rnacentral:tRNA from 1 species
GCUCAGGUAGCUUAGACCCUAAAGCAUUGCUCUUGUAAAUCAAAGACGGACCACUCCCCUGGGCA